rnacentral:rRNA from 1 species
GUAGGGAAUCUUGCGCAAUGGGCGAAAGCCUGACGCAGCCAUGCCGCGUGAAUGAUGAAGGUCUUAGGAUUGUAAAAUUCUUUCACCGGGGACGAUAAUGACGGUACCCGGAGAAGAAGCCCCGGCUAACUUCGUGCCAGCAGCCGCGGUAAUACGAAGGGGGCUAGCGUUGCUCGGAAUUACUGGGCGUAAAGGGCGCGUAGGCGGACAGUUUAGUCAGAGGUGAAAGCCCAGGGCUCAACCUUGGAAUUGCCUUUGAUACUGGCUGUCUUGAGUACGGGAGAGGUGAGUGGAACUCCGAGUGUAGAGGUGAAAUUCGUAGAUAUUCGGAAGAACACCAGUGGCGAAGGCGACUCACUGGCCCGUUACUGACGCUGAGGCGCGAAAGCGUGGGGAGCAAACAGGAUUAGAAACCCUGGUAGUCC